UUUAAUAACGACCUGGUUUUGCAUAAAUAUGCUGCUUUCUCAACAUGUAUCAACAUGUAAAAUUUGGCAACGACAUGAACCUACCCUGCAAGACGGAGGUAACAGAUUGCACAAACGCAUUGAAACAUUUUCAGCUGUUCACUAACACUGUUACAUUUUCUGUUCUUUUCAAUUGAAUGGGAGAAUACGAGAGACGAAUGCCCAAUUUUUCAAGAAGAAGAAAACGAAAAGCGCAGCUUAUUUUAGAUGUUAAAGAGCUGACCCCGCAUACGUUGACCUGCGUGAAAUUAUGUGUUUUGAAAUGAAAAGAAAGUUGAAUUUACGUUGGAAAUAUCAAUAGCAACCGAAGGUAUUAGCAAUCGUCGUUUUUCGGGUGGAUUAUGUAAACUCGUCCUAAGAAAUUAGUUGAGAACACACCUGGAUGUCAAUCUACUGGUUGGCCUUGCUUUCUGCGUAACUAUUUCUUCGUUGAUGCAUUCCAUGUAUAAUAUCAAGUCAUUUUCGAAUAGAGCAAUGUGCUCGCAAACGAAUCACUGACGCAAGUUGAGAAAAAACUCGUCAAUGUAAAUUUUGUUGUUGGAGGUUUUCCGCUGGCUGUACUGUAUUCUCUGGGUUGAAAAACACUCUUUAGCCAUUCUCCAAAUGAACUGCGAGACGCACAAUAGUCGAAAAAAGUUCAUGAAUUGCAAAAGUAAAUACCCUACAAAGCGCUUUAUUGCAAUUCAAGUAUCCACCGUAUCGUUCCAGACCAAUACUGAUAUGAGUUUUGAAUGUGAAUUAGACAACAGUGGAGAGUAUAGUACGAUCCAUAUAUUGUCAACUUCGAUAUUCACUACUCUAAGUUGUAUGGUCGUCUGAUGAGCUACGACGACAGAGUGGAUAUCCAUCAUUUCCAGUUUGCGAUUCCGAAAGAAAAGCACGUGGAUAGUGUUUCGUGCAUUUAUUGUUAGACAUACAAACCGAAGUGGGAUUGUGGUGUCCGCAAGGUCCAUGAACCAUAUUGGUUUUCAUCACUUCGUUUAAUACUGGAGCUUUCUCUACAUCAGGAAUUUCCGCAGAAAUGAUUUCAUCAAUUUGAUCUUUGUUUGUACGUCUGGUUAGUGGCAUUGUUAAAAACGAAAAUCCAACUGAAAAUAAAAUGAUCUCAUAUUUUUUCUGUUUAACCAUGAAUACCAAAUUGUAAUAUUGUGUAGUCAGCAAAAGUUACCAAAAAUCGAUAUAAGGUGAAUUUAACUUACCGUGAUUAAUAAACACUUAUUAGCAAACAAAACACUUCUUAGUC